AUAGGUUAAUGAGGCGAACCGGGGGAACUGAAACAUCUAAGUACCCCGAGGAAAAGAAAUCAACCGAGAUUCCCCCAGUAGCGGCGAGCGAACGGGGAGGAGCCCAGAGCCUGAAUCAGCAUGUGUGUUAGUGGAAGCGUCUGGAAAGGCGCGCGAUACAGGGUGACAGCCCCGUACACAAAAGCGCAUAUGCUGUGAGCUCGAUGAGUAGGGCGGGACACGUGGUAUCCUGUCUGAAUAUGGGGGGACCAUCCUCCAAGGCUAAAUACUCCUGACUGACCGAUAGUGAACCAGUACCGUGAGGGAAAGGCGAAAAGAACCCCGGCGAGGGGAGUGAAACAGAACCUGAAACCGUGUACGUACAAGCAGUGGGAGCACAGGUUUACCUGUGUGACUGCGUACCUUUUGUAUAAUGGGUCAGCGACUUAU
rnacentral:rRNA from 1 species